UACGGAGGGUGCGAGCGUUGUCCGGAAUCACUGGGCGUAAAGGGCGCGUAGGCGGCCUGAUAAGGAGGGGGUGAAAUCUUGCGGCUUAACCGCAAGGCUGCCUUCUAAACUGUCAGGCUAGAGCACAGUAGAGGCAGGUGGAAUUCCCGGUGUAGCGGUGGAAUGCGUAGAGAUCGGAAAGAACACCAACGGCGAAAGCACUCUGCUGGGCCGACACUGACACUGAGAGACGAAAGCUAGGGGAGCGAAUGGG
rnacentral:rRNA from 1 species